UGUCAGAAAUGGGUCAGCUGGAAAGCUUAGGACAAAAAGCCCAGGAGGAUGUAUUAAUAACUUGUCUAAACAGAGAUGUCAAAGGCCCUGGAGGGUCACCUGUAGGCUGGGUUAUUUGCCAAAGCAGAGGAGGCAAAUGCUGGAGACUGAGGGGCCUGUGAAGUGGAAGAGGCAGACACCUCCCCUCGGUGGAGCCCUCUCAACCCCAAGAGUCUCUUGGAAUGGAGGACUGAGCCUGACUGGAGGGCGGAAUUCCUACACAGAUCUUCCAAUCCAGGACUAUAUCCUCUGGAAUGAAACAGCUCCAAGUGCAGAGUGCCUUUAAAGACAUUCCAGUUCAAUUCACUCAUUUAUUGGGACCCAGAGAAAGGGUGUGCAUUGCCUAAGGGCUUACAAACAGUGAUGUCGGCUGGGGCUGCAGAAGGGUCCCUGCUAUCUGGGCACCAAUCCUCCCACCAGGAACAUCCAGUCAAAUGUGUAUGUGUGUGUGUGUGUGUAUACACACCUGUGCAAGUGUAUAUUUGUUGCCAGGAACCUGGAUUGCUCUGAGAGGUUUUCUUGUAUAUCAUGGAGGAGUGGAGGAGAGAAGGGGUUUGCUUGCAGAUAGGUUCAGAAAGACUUGCAGAUGAC
rnacentral:lncRNA from 1 species